rnacentral:misc_RNA from 1 species
GCUUAUCACAUACUAUCUUCUCAAGAAGGUUCUUGAUGGCAACUUCACUGGCAGAGCCAUUGCUGAAGUGGAUCUGAACAAGUGCGAACCAUGGGAGCUUCCUGAGAAAGCUAAAAUGGGAGAGAAAGAGUGGUACUUCUUCAGCCUGAGAGAUAGGAAGUACCCAACUGGGCUGAGAACUAAUAGAGCCACUGAAGCUGGUUAUUGGAAGGCUACUGGGAAAGACAGGGAGAUUUACA